GCUAGGUGUAGUAGCAAGUGCCUGUAGUCUCAGCUACUUGGGAGGCUAAGGCAGGAGGAUCCCUUGAGUCCAGGAGUUUUGAGUUAUAGUAGUUCAGUGAUUAAGUUUCUGUACCAGAUUUGCUAUCAUUAUGGUGACCUCCCAGGAGUAGGGAACCACCAGAUGGCCUAAGGAGAGAUAAACCAACCCAGGUUGGAAAUGGAGGAGGUCAAAACUAUGCUGAUCAGUACUAGGAUUACACAUGUAAACAGCCAAUGCACUCUAGCUUGGGCAACAGAACAAGACCCCAUCUCU
rnacentral:SRP_RNA from 1 species